CAAGGCCAUUUCGGUGAAGGAUUAGCGACCCACACCGGCCCCGAGCCGUGCGUUGGCGUCAGUGAGGGCGUCGGCAGGGGAGUGCAUAGGCCAGCCGUUGAGCCGCGAAAUAGUCUUGGUUCCGGGGGCCGACGUUGUUCGCAAGACGGAAGGCAAUACGCACGAGCACGCUAUAGCAAGUGCUCGGACGACCCGGCACCUCACUCGACCC
rnacentral:ncRNA from 2 species